AUUGAACGCUGGCGGCAUGCCUUACACAUGCAAGUCGAACGGCAGCACGGGAGCAAUCCUGGUGGCGAGUGGCGAACGGGUGAGUAAUAUAUCGGAACGUGCCCGGUCGUGGGGGAUAACGUAGCGAAAGCUACGCUAAUACCGCAUACGAUCUACGGAUGAAAGCGGGGGAUCGCAAGACCUCGCGCGAUUGGAGCGGCCGAUAUCAGAUUAGGUAGUUGGUGAGGUAAAGGCUCACCAAGCCGACGAUCUGUAGCUGGUCUGAGAGGACGACCAGCCACACUGGGACUGAGACACGGCCCAGACUCCUACGGGAGGCAGCAGUGGGGAAUUUUGGACAAUGGGCGCAAGCCUGAUCCAGCAAUGCCGCGUGCAGGAUGAAGGCCUUCGGUUGGUAAACUGGACUUUUUGUUACGGGUAACGAAACGGUAGGAGCG
rnacentral:rRNA from 1 species